rnacentral:snoRNA from 1 species
UUGCAGCCAAUUAAGCCAACUGUGCUCUUUUCCCCAUGGGGGCCCAGUGUGCAAUGGCUGCAAAUAGGAGCCUCCUUAAUAGUGUAUGCAAUCUGUUGCCUGUAUAGGUUGCCCUAAGGGACCUUGGAGACAACU